rnacentral:rRNA from 1 species
UAGGGAAUAUUAGAAAUGGACGAAAGUCUGAUCUAGCAACACCGCGUGUGCGAAGAAGGCCUUCGGGUUGUAAAGCACUUUUUGGAAGGAUUAGGAAGGAAUGUACUUCCAGAAUAAGUCUCGGCUAACUACGUGCCAGCAGCCGCGGUAACACGUAGGAGGCAAACGUUAUCCGGAUUUACUGGGCGUAAAGCGCGUGUAGGUGGUUCUGUAAGUAGGGCGUGAAAGCUCCUGGCUCAACUGGGAGAGGCCGUUCUAAACUACAGAACUAGAGGAUGGUAGAGGGAGGUGGAAUUCCAGGUGUAGCGGUGGAAUGUGCAGAUAUCUGGAGGAACACCAGUGGCGAAGGCGGCCUCCUGGACCAUUCCUGACGCUCAGACACGAAAGCUAAGGUAGCAAACG